rnacentral:tRNA from 1 species
GUGUGGCCCAAUGGUUGAGACGCCAGGCUAAUAACCUGAAGGUCUUUGCUUCGAACCC